rnacentral:rRNA from 1 species
AACGAACGCUGGCGGCAUGCCUAACACAUGCAAGUCGAACGUGAUCCGUGCCUUCGGGUGCGGUGAAAGUGGCGCACGGGUGAGUAACGCGUGGGAACCUGCCCAAUGGUAGGGAAUAACCGCGGGAAACUGCGGCUAAUACCCUAUGAGCCCUACGGGGGAAAGAUUUAUCGCCGUUGGAGGGGCCCGCGUCGGAUUAGGUAGUUGGUGGGGUAAUGGCUCACCAAGCCUUCGAUCCGUAGCUGGUCUGAGAGGAUGUUCAGCCACACUGGGACUGACACACGGCCCAGGCUCCUACGGGAGGGAGCAGUGGGGAAUAUUGGACAAUGGGGGCAACCCUGAUCCAGCAAUGCCGCGUGAGUGAAGAAGGCCUUAGGGUUGUAAAGCUCUUUCGGCGGGGACGAUGAUGACGGUACCCGCAGAAGAAGCCCCGGCUAACUCCGUGCCAGCCGCCGCGGUAA